UACGUAGGGUGCAAGCGUUAAUCGGAAUUACUGGGCGUAAAGCGUGCGCAGGCGGUUUUGUAAGUCUGUCGUGAAAUCCCCGGGCUCAACCUGAGAAUGGCGAUGGAGACUGCAAGGCUAGAGUUUGGCAGAGGGGGGUAGAAUUCCACGUGUAGCAGUGAAAUGCGUAGAUAUGUGGAGGAACACCGAUGGCGAAGGCAGCCCCCUGGGUCAAAACUGACGCUCAUGCACGAAAGCGUGGGGAGCAAACAGG
rnacentral:rRNA from 1 species